UUCUUCUCCUUCUCUCUCACUCGCUCUCUCUCUCUCUUCUCCUUCUCUUUUCUUCUUCCCCCUUUUUUCUCUUUCCGUCACUGCCGCAGUUGCAGUGGCAGAUCUGAAUCCACCUCCGAAGGGAGAGCCGGAGAGGACCCAGAAGGGAAAAAUAAAGGUGCUAGUCAACAUCGGUGUAAAUCCAUCCCAACCGAACAGAUACGCAUUCAUCUCGCAGCCGAUAGCCAUAAAUCUGUUUCUGGUAUCGGAGGCUCCGUACGCAUUUGCAAAUCUAGCCCAAGCGAAGGUAUUCCCCUGCCAGUACUUGUCCUCACUUCCCUGCGUCUCUCUCUCUCUCUCUCACUCUCUGCUGCUGGUCCUUAGACAUAAAUCUGUUUCUGGUAUCGGAGGCUCUAUACGCAUUUGCAAAUCUAGCCCAAGCGAGGGUAUUCCCCUGCCAGUAUUUGUCCUCACUUCCCUCCGUCUCUCUCUCUCUCUCUCUCUCUCUCUCUCUCUUUCUCUCACUCUCUGCUGCUGGUCCUUAGGCAUAAAUCUGUUUCUGGUAUCGGAGGCUCUGUACGCAUGUGCAGUGGCUUCCCUUCUCUGAAAUCCAACUCUUCUAGCUCUAAUCUAAACCACAGAGAGAUGACCAAACUCGUUGACAGGUUGGGCUUUGGUCACCGUUCCUCCAACGGAUCCACCAUUGGCCUUAUCUAGUCGUUGAUCAGAGAUGCCUUCGCCUCCUACACCAGUUCACCCCUUUUUUCACUCCAAACGCGUAUAAAGUAUUCACCGAUGUUUCACACUGUUCUAACGUAGAAGAGUGUAAAAGGUGCAUUCGGCCGGUUCUGGAUUUACACCGACACAUUUGACGGUUCUGGAUUUACACCGAUGGACUUUUGUAUUUACACCUCUACCAAAUGCAGCCUAAAGUUGCUCGCCUCCUUUGGACAAAGUUUUUGGAGCUGUUUGAAGCUCAGUUUUGUUUCCCAGAAAAAGAAAAUGUGCUAGCAGUGCUUCAGAGUUGGCAUCUGAAAGGGCUCUCGAAAGAAGGCAAGGUAAUUUGGAGAGCAGGUCCAGCUUUAGUAAUCUGGACAAUAUAGACAGAAAGAAACAAAAGAACAUUUGAAAAUUUGUAUGUUUCAGAGGAUAAUUUAUGUAAAGGUUUUUGGGGUAGGAUGUAUUCUUGGGUAGGGUCUCAUAAUCUGUUCAGGAAUAGACCUUAUAGCUCGUUUUGUAAUGCUGGAGCUCUUUUUGUAUCUAUGCAUACUGAGUAAUCUUUUAGUUUGAUGUACAGCUUUUGAUUUGGGCACUGCACAGCUCCUUGUGCUGAUUUGGUUAAUGCUUUUUGCCUAAUAUAUUACUUUACCUUUAUCUCAAUAA